GGAUGCUUCUCAAUCUCAUGGAUUGGCAGCCUCUUUCUCGGGUCCAAGUGGAGCAGCUGGAGAAUGAGAUCUUUGGCUUCCUCGCUCACAUCCGUCCAGUCAAGGGAGGUCACCGGCACUUCCUUCCUCCCCACCCAGAAUGCAAACUGCCCCGACAAUAUCUCAUACAAGACAAUGCCCACGCCCCACACAUCUACCAUCUCAUCAUACUCAUCAUCAGAAUUCACCAUCUCUGGGGCGCUGUAAGCCUGUGUCCCAGAAAGGUCGCUCAUCCUAAACUUUACGCCUGGCCCCUCGCUCAACCAACACGUUCCAAAGUCAGCCACCUUUAUGCUGUCAAAUUUCUCCUUAAUCCCUAGGAGGAUGUUGGCAGUGUUGAUAUCCCUAUGAGCUAUUCCCAUGUCGUGCAUUUCGCCCACAGUCCUGGCCACUUUCUUCAUCACCAGUGCUGCCUCGUGCUCACUCAGCCUCCCCUUGUCCUUCAACACAUCUCGCAGCGAGCACUGGCACAACUCCAUGACAAGGUGAUGGUAUUCUUGUUCUUUGAAAACGUCCACUAGUUGAACCACACCACUUUUUGCUGUGCUCUUGGAGAGUUUCGUGAGUACUCUCAUCUCUAACUCCGCUUGGUCUUCAAGAUUGUCAGUGACCCGAAUUGAUUUACAAGCGAACAAUUGACCGUCGCUCUUGCGUUUGAUUUGGUAGACACUUGAUUGGCCUCCCUGACCCAGCUCCUUUUCCACCGAGAACAAGUCUCCCAUGCUUGCCUGGUUAAACUCCAUCGCCUCCAUAGAUCGCACCAGUGCCAUCUGCUCGUCCAUCAAUUUCCUGUGCUCCUCCAUCGAUUCAGUGCUCGGUGUAGCAGCUUCUUCCUCUUGUGGGGGAGGUAUUUUGAGUAGCUCGUAGAGCUCCUUCAGCUUCCAAAGUGCAUCAAGUAGCACCUCUUCUUGAGGCUUACCUUCGUCAAGCGCCAUCCCCUUGAAAGUCUGUUUAACCCUAGCCUUGAUGUAGCAAUUGCCUUUUUUAUAAUUUCCUAUACCAAAAGGGCUGUGAAAUGUGAAACCGCUUUUUCCACAAACAAUUCUUACCUUUCUUAUUCAAAAGAAUCCAAUACGUCUGAAUAAAAGCAUUAAACAAAGUGCCUAGUGACUUGGUGGAAAUACUUUCUGUUUCCAAAUAAUCGGCGAGCAUCCUAUUGCUCGCAGCAAACCACCAACACAAUGCUGUGAAAAUCGCCGGCGCUUCAUUCCCCGCGGUGUGGUGCGCUUGGUCUGCGCAGUGUGAGCCUGGCAACCAGCUCUGUUGAGUUCUUGGCGGCAUUCACUGACAAAACCUUCACGAGGAAAGAUGGAAAACGUUAAUCGACUCAUUCCAAGACAAACCUGUGGAAUCACAAUGCAAUCUCCGCAAUCGCCAGCUGCUCACGCAAUCUCAGAGUUGUGGCCUGCUCUCGGAAUCAUGCCCAGAUUUUCCAGUUACACCGACAACGGAGCCUUGACACCAAGUUCUCGGAGUGGAGAAAAGGAUUUGGCACUGGAACUUUUCUCCAUCAUGCUGGAUCAAGGACGCGAGAAUCUUUGUGGCUGUUCUUGGUGCCUGCGCGCGGGAGAAGACGGCAGGGAGCUGGCUGGGUAAAUGAUGAACGUGCAGUCAGUCGGGACACGAGAAAAAAAAAACACACACACACACACGUCCAAAGCUCCGAGACCUCGUGCAGAAGCUGCCAGUACAGGGACAUGAUGGCGUUGAUAAGUAUGGUGAAAAGCCCCGUUGUAUCCUUCCCAAACUUGCAGCUGCGUUAAAUGCCGCUUCGAGAGCUGAAAUUGCAUAUAAGACGCCGGGAGGGAGAUAAUCCCACCACCUUCAAAGGCUUCAGUUCGGAGCAGUCAUUCGCUGUCUUUGGAGUGCUUCCUAGAUAGAGAUGUUCUUUUCCCAUGCAAACCUGUCGUCGCCAUGGCUAAGAAGGCCCAGAGAGCUUUCCAAACCAUGGCAACGAACUUCCUUGCAUCCGAGAUCACGGAGGAACGGUCUGCAUUUCUUUUCCAGCAUAAGAAUCGCUGCCCACAGCAGCUGAGCGAGGUCGCUCAGCUACUGUAGGAACUGACGUUGUAAGCAUCGAUGACAAGCUCAGUCUUCCUUGUGCUGCCAACCCGUGAGCAAUAGCCGCAAGUGUGAAAGAAAAGACCGCCGUCAAUACCAGAACCUUUGUUGCCACCUCCCUGACUGCUCGCCAAAUACUCAGAUAGCAUGCUGAAUAUCGCAGCAACCACAGUGCCGUCAGCACCACCUGGAGUUUGAUUCGAAGCACGAUCUUUUUAACUGAGAUACCAGUGGACAAUUGGCUAAAGUAUGUACCAGGUUAAAAGAAUCUUGAAACAAACAACUAUCAACAGAAAAAAAUCAACAAACACACCUAAAGUGUAGAAGACAACGUAGAGCGAAUGUAAGAGGCCAGCCUGAACACCUUCAAGUGUAUACAUGCCAAUUGGACAACUUGUUACUGUCGUUCUUAGCUUUCUGUCCAGCCUCUCAGAAUUAACUUGAGGAUGAGCUUCUUUACCAGUCAAAAGAUUUAGGCCACACCCACAUUGCCUACAUGCUUCUCCGGAAGCUGGUCAAGACGUCCACAAAUGCAUAUCAAUCUGAAACGCUCUUUGUGAUACAGCUCCUGCGCCAAAUAAGGCACGCAAUGGUUUAGUAGUCCCCCACUUGCUUGCUCACUAUGUAACAAAAGCUCCGAUAGUAGUACUUUGCUGCAGCUCCUUCACUUAUUUUACUUCAAAUUUUGAGCAAAAGCACAUCGGUCUGGGCAAACAGCAUUGGCACGCGAGAAAGCUCUUAUCAAGUCACGGAAACUUCUGCAGAAGGACAACGAAAAAUUGUUAUAGCGAUGGAAGCAUUACCAGCAUUAUCGAGAGGAGCUGUGCACGCCUGACUAGGACUGACAUUAGAUGGACACGGCACUGAUUCUGGUCUUUUGGUAGGAGCUGGCUCCACCUUGUGUAGUGCACGAUCGUUACGUUAGCCGUUAGCCGUUAGCCCGUGAUGCUAGCACAAUAUUUCCAGGCAGCAUCACAUCCUCUUUCGAAUGUAGUCGCAGCUCCUCACAUUUGUCAAUUAUGGCCACUUUUUAGCAAUAUCUUACCCGUGCUGCUAUUUCGUCAGAUGUCAAUUCAGUCCAUUCAGAAACCUAUGAACGUUUUUGUUGGAUCCUGCGGUAAGCGAACCUUGUUAAAGAGCCCUUUCAAAAAACUUUUGAGAGCAUCAGGUGGAUCCUGCUCGACAGCGAUAGCUAAAGUUAUAACAAAAUCGCAAUAAUUACCUCCUGUAAACAGAGUUAGAGUAAAAAGGAGGCUGGCCAACAUAGAGUUCAUUCCUGCUCAUGACAAUGCGCGUCAAUGUAAAACAAACAGAACUUUACAAUGUCACACCAAGAGUCUGCUCUAGGGAGCCAUGUAUAGUGGAGCUCCUGUCAUAGCGUCACGGUUUCACGAAUGUAUAGAAGCAAUCUAAAAGACAACCUUCGAUCGAGCGAAGAGCCAUUUGUGUUGCAAGACAUGUCCACAAUCGCAGAGCUGAUUCCAACAAUAGGCACUCACAGGAUUUCACAAUCCAGAUUUGGUGCCUUCGCCGGCACCGAUCUCCCAGUGGAUGGUGUAGUGCCCGAACCUACGAGUAAGUCUUCUUAGAAAAAGUCUCGCACUAAUCUUUGUCGCUCUUGCCGUGCUUGAGCAUAUCGUCUGGGGCAUCGAUCGAUCAGGGGCAAACAAGAAAACAAAAAUGCAGCUCACAGAAAUGCAUGGCCAGUGCAUCUCGUCAAAAAGCCUAGAGCGAUACCCAGAGUAGAAAUUCUUCUGGUAACAUUUAUUUUGUAUGGUAGGAAUUCUUUUCUCUCUUUUUCGUUCUUGAAGGCAAGAAAAUUCCCCCGUACAACGUGGCUGGGAUAGAAUUUCUUUCGGCCCGACCAGACAUGUCCAACAGACGCUCGUAGUGCUCCUCGGAUGGCAUUCUCAUUCUCCAAAACUGUCAAGGCAACUUAUGCUCCAAAGCCGCACCUUCUUUGCCACAAGACUUUCCUCUGCUUCUUCCUGAUCACCUCGCCUUCGCUUCAAGCCCGGCUUCAAAUCCAUCUCCAGACACAAUUCCUGCUGUACAGCAGAAUGCUUGACGACCCAUGGAUGCUUCUCAAUCUCAUGGAUUGGCAGCCUCUUUCUCGGGUCCAAGUGGAGCAGCUGGAGAAUGAGAUCUUUGGCUUCCUCGCUCACAUCCGUCCAGUCAAGGGAGGUCACCGGCACUUCCUUCCUCCCCACCCAGAAUGCAAACUGCCCCGACAAUAUCUCAUACAAGACAAUGCCCACGCCCCACACAUCUACCAUCUCAUCAUACUCAUCAUCAGAAUUCACCAUCUCUGGGGCGCUGUAAGCCUGUGUCCCAGAAAGGUCGCUCAUCCUAAACUUUACGCCUGGCCCCUCGCUCAACCAACACGUUCCAAAGUCAGCCACCUUUAUGCUGUCAAAUUUCUCCUUAAUCCCUAGGAGGAUGUUGGCAGUGUUGAUAUCCCUAUGAGCUAUUCCCAUGUCGUGCAUUUCGCCCACAGUCCUGGCCACUUUCUUCAUCACCAGUGCUGCCUCGUGCUCACUCAGCCUCCCCUUGUCCUUCAACACAUCUCGCAGCGAGCACUGGCACAACUCCAUGACAAGGUGAUGGUAUUCUUGUUCUUUGAAAACGUCCACUAGUUGAACCACACCACUUUUUGCUGUGCUCUUGGAGAGUUUCGUGAGUACUCUCAUCUCUAACUCCGCUUGGUCUUCAAGAUUGUCAGUGACCCGAAUUGAUUUACAAGCGAACAAUUGACCGUCGCUCUUGCGUUUGAUUUGGUAGACACUUGAUUGGCCUCCCUGACCCAGCUCCUUUUCCACCGAGAACAAGUCUCCCAUGCUUGCCUGGUUAAACUCCAUCGCCUCCAUAGAUCGCACCAGUGCCAUCUGCUCGUCCAUCAAUUUCCUGUGCUCCUCCAUCGAUUCAGUGCUCGGUGUAGCAGCUUCUUCCUCUUGUGGGGGAGGUAUUUUGAGUAGCUCGUAGAGCUCCUUCAGCUUCCAAAGUGCAUCAAGUAGCACCUCUUCUUGAGGCUUACCUUCGUCAAGCGCCAUCCCCUUGAAAGUCUGUUUAACCCUAGCCUUGAUGUAGCAAUUGCCUUUUUUAUAAUUUCCUAUACCAAAAGGGCUGUGAAAUGUGAAACCGCUUUUUCCACAAACAAUUCUUACCUUUCUUAUUCAAAAGAAUCCAAUACGUCUGAAUAAAAGCAUUAAACAAAGUGCCUAGUGACUUGGUGGAAAUACUUUCUGUUUCCAAAUAAUCGGCGAGCAUCCUAUUGCUCGCAGCAAACCACCAACACAAUGCUGUGAAAAUCGCCGGCGCUUCAUUCCCCGCGGUGUGGUGCGCUUGGUCUGCGCAGUGUGAGCCUGGCAACCAGCUCUGUUGAGUUCUUGGCGGCAUUCACUGACAAAACCUUCACGAGGAAAGAUGGAAAACGUUAAUCGACUCAUUCCAAGACAAACCUGUGGAAUCACAAUGCAAUCUCCGCAAUCGCCAGCUGCUCACGCAAUCUCAGAGUUGUGGCCUGCUCUCGGAAUCAUGCCCAGAUUUUCCAGUUACACCGACAACGGAGCCUUGACACCAAGUUCUCGGAGUGGAGAAAAGGAUUUGGCACUGGAACUUUUCUCCAUCAUGCUGGAUCAAGGACGCGAGAAUCUUUGUGGCUGUUCUUGGUGCCUGCGCGCGGGAGAAGACGGCAGGGAGCUGGCUGGGUAAAUGAUGAACGUGCAGUCAGUCGGGACACGAGAAAAAAAAAACACACACACACACACGUCCAAAGCUCCGAGACCUCGUGCAGAAGCUGCCAGUACAGGGACAUGAUGGCGUUGAUAAGUAUGGUGAAAAGCCCCGUUGUAUCCUUCCCAAACUUGCAGCUGCGUUAAAUGCCGCUUCGAGAGCUGAAAUUGCAUAUAAGACGCCGGGAGGGAGAUAAUCCCACCACCUUCAAAGGCUUCAGUUCGGAGCAGUCAUUCGCUGUCUUUGGAGUGCUUCCUAGAUAGAGAUGUUCUUUUCCCAUGCAAACCUGUCGUCGCCAUGGCUAAGAAGGCCCAGAGAGCUUUCCAAACCAUGGCAACGAACUUCCUUGCAUCCGAGAUCACGGAGGAACGGUCUGCAUUUCUUUUCCAGCAUAAGAAUCGCUGCCCACAGCAGCUGAGCGAGGUCGCUCAGCUACUGUAGGAACUGACGUUGUAAGCAUCGAUGACAAGCUCAGUCUUCCCUGUGCUGCCAACCCGUGAGCAAUAGCCGCAAGUGUGAAAGAAAAGACCGCCGUCAAUACCAGAACCUUUGUUGCCACCUCCCUGACUGCUCGCCAAAUACUCAGAUAGCAUGCUGAAUAUCGCAGCAACCACAGUGCCGUCAGCACCACCUGGAGUUUGAUUCGAAGCACGAUCUUUUUAACUGAGAUACCAGUGGACAAUUGGCUAAAGUAUGUACCAGGUUAAAAGAAUCUUGAAACAAACAACUAUCAACAGAAAAAAAUCAACAAACACACCUAAAGUGUAGAAGACAACGUAGAGCGAAUGUAAGAGGCCAGCCUGAACACCUUCAAGUGUAUACAUGCCAAUUGGACAACUUGUUACUGUCGUUCUUAGCUUUCUGUCCAGCCUCUCAGAAUUAACUUGAGGAUGAGCUUCUUUACCAGUCAAAAGAUUUAGGCCACACCCACAUUGCCUACAUGCUUCUCCGGAAGCUGGUCAAGACGUCCACAAAUGCAUAUCAAUCUGAAACGCUCUUUGUGAUACAGCUCCUGCGCCAAAUAAGGCACGCAAUGGUUUAGUAGUCCCCCACUUGCUUGGUCACUAUGUAACAAAAGCUCCGAUAGUAGUACUUUGCUGCAGCUCCUUCACUUAUUUUACUUCAAAUUUUGAGCAAAAGCACAUCGGUCUGGGCAAACAGCAUUGGCACGCGAGAAAGCUCUUAUCAAGUCACGGAAACUUCUGCAGAAGGACAACGAAAAAUUGUUAUAGCGAUGGAAGCAUUACCAGCAUUAUCGAGAGGAGCUGUGCACGCCUGACUAGGACUGACAUUAGAUGGACACGGCACUGAUUCUGGUCUUUUGGUAGGAGCUGGCUCCACCUUGUGUAGUGCACGAUCGUUACGUUAGCCGUUAGCCGUUAGCCCGUGAUGCUAGCACAAUAUUUCCAGGCAGCAUCACAUCCUCUUUCGAAUGUAGUCGCAGCUCCUCACAUUUGUCAAUUAUGGCCACUUUUUAGCAAUAUCUUACCCGUGCUGCUAUUUCGUCAGAUGUCAAUUCAGUCCAUUCAGAAACCUAUGAACGUUUUUGUUGGAUCCUGCGGUAAGCGAACCUUGUUAAAGAGCCCUUUCAAAAAACUUUUGAGAGCAUCAGGUGGAUCCUGCUCGACAGCGAUAGCUAAAGUUAUAACAAAAUCGCAAUAAUUACCUCCUGUAAACAGAGUUAGAGUAAAAAGGAGGCUGGCCAACAUAGAGUUCAUUCCUGCUCAUGACAAUGCGCGUCAAUGUAAAACAAACAGAACUUUACAAUGUCACACCAAGAGUCUGCUCUAGGGAGCCAUGUAUAGUGGAGCUCCUGUCAUAGCGUCACGGUUUCACGAAUGUAUAGAAGCAAUCUAAAAGACAACCUUCGAUCGAGCGAAGAGCCAUUUGUGUUGCAAGACAUGUCCACAAUCGCAGAGCUGAUUCCAACAAUAGGCACUCACAGGAUUUCACAAUCCAGAUUUGGUGCCUUCGCCGGCACCGAUCUCCCAGUGGAUGGUGUAGUGCCCGAACCUACGAGUAAGUCUUCUUAGAAAAAGUCUCGCACUAAUCUUUGUCGCUCUUGCCGUGCUUGAGCAUAUCGUCUGGGGCAUCGAUCGAUCAGGGGCAAACAAGAAAACAAAAAUGCAGCUCACAGAAAUGCAUGGCCAGUGCAUCUCGUCAAAAAGCCUAGAGCGAUACCCAGAGUAGAAAUUCUUCUGGUAACAUUUAUUUUGUAUGGUAGGAAUUCUUUUCUCUCUUUUUCGUUCUUGAAGGCAAGAAAAUUCCCCCGUACAACGUGGCUGGGAUAGAAUUUCUUUCGGCCCGACCAGACAUGUCCAACAGACGCUCGUAGUGCUCCUCGGAUGGCAUUCUCAUUCUCCAAAACUGUCAAGGCAACUUAUGCUCCAAAGCCGCACCUUCUUUGCCACAAGACUUUCCUCUGCUUCUUCCUGAUCACCUCGCCUUCGCUUCAAGCCCGGCUUCAAAUCCAUCUCCAGACACAAUUCCUGCUGUACAGCAGAAUGCUUGACGACCCAUGGAUGCUUCUCAAUCUCAUGGAUUGGCAGCCUCUUUCUCGGGUCCAAGUGGAGCAGCUGGAGAAUGAGAUCUUUGGCUUCCUCGCUCACAUCCGUCCAGUCAAGGGAGGUCACCGGCACUUCCUUCCUCCCCACCCAGAAUGCAAACUGCCCCGACAAUAUCUCAUACAAGACAAUGCCCACGCCCCACACAUCUACCAUCUCAUCAUACUCAUCAUCAGAAUUCACCAUCUCUGGGGCGCUGUAAGCCUGUGUCCCAGAAAGGUCGCUCAUCCUAAACUUUACGCCUGGCCCCUCGCUCAACCAACACGUUCCAAAGUCAGCCACCUUUAUGCUGUCAAAUUUCUCCUUAAUCCCUAGGAGGAUGUUGGCAGUGUU
rnacentral:lncRNA from 1 species